GUUUUUUUUCUUCGCUCAGAUUGAACGCUGGCGGCAGGCCUAACACAUGCAAGUCGAGCGGUAGCACAGAGAGCUUGCUCUCGGGUGACGAGCGGCGGACGGGUGAGUAAUGUCUGGGAAACUGCCUGAUGGAGGGGGAUAACUACUGGAAACGGUAGCUAAUACCGCAUAAUGUCGCAAGACCAAAGUGGGGGACCUUCGGGCCUCAUGCCAUCAGAUGUGCCCAGAUGGGAUUAGCUAGUAGGUGGGGUAACGGCUCACCUAGGCGACGAUCCCUAGCUGGUCUGAGAGGAUGACCAGCCACACUGGAACUGAGACACGGUCCAGACUCCUACGGGAGGCAGCAGUGGGGAAUAUUGCACAAUGGGCGCAAGCCUGAUGCAGCCAUGCCGCGUGUGUGAAGAAGGCCUUCGGGUUGUAAAGCACUUUCAGCGGGGAGGAAGGCGUUAAGGUUAAUAACCUUGGCGAUUGACGUUACCCGCAGAAGAAGCACCGGCUAACUCCGUGCCAGCAGCCGCGGUAAUACGGAGGGUGCAAGCGUUAAUCGGAAUUACUGGGCGUAAAGCGCACGCAGGCGGUCUGUCAAGUCGGAUGUGAAAUCCCCGGGCUCAACCUGGGAACUGCAUUCGAAACUGGCAGGCUAGAGUCUUGUAGAGGGGGGUAGAAUUCCAGGUGUAGCGGUGAAAUGCGUAGAGAUCUGGAGGAAUACCGGUGGCGAAGGCGGCCCCCUGGACAAAGACUGACGCUCAGGUGCGAAAGCGUGGGGAGCAAACAGGAUUAGAUACCCUGGUAGUCCACGCCGUAAACGAUGUCGAUUUGGAGGUUGUGCCCUUGAGGCGUGGCUUCCGGAGCUAACGCGUUAAAUCGACCGCCUGGGGAGUACGGCCGCAAGGUUAAAACUCAAAUGAAUUGACGGGGGCCCGCACAAGCGGUGGAGCAUGUGGUUUAAUUCGAUGCAACGCGAAGAACCUUACCUGGUCUUGACAUCCACAGAACUUUCCAGAGAUGGAUUGGUGCCUUCGGGAACUGUGAGACAGGUGCUGCAUGGCUGUCGUCAGCUCGUGUUGUGAAAUGUUGGGUUAAGUCCCGCAACGAGCGCAACCCUUAUCCUUUGUUGCCAGCGGUUAGGCCGGGAACUCAAAGGAGACUGCCAGUGAUAAACUGGAGGAAGGUGGGGAUGACGUCAAGUCAUCAUGGCCCUUACGACCAGGGCUACACACGUGCUACAAUGGCAUAUACAAAGAGAAGCGACCUCGCGAGAGCAAGCGGACCUCAUAAAGUAUGUCGUAGUCCGGAUUGGAGUCUGCAACUCGACUCCAUGAAGUCGGAAUCGCUAGUAAUCGUAGAUCAGAAUGCUACGGUGAAUACGUUCCCGGGCCUUGUACACACCGCCCGUCACACCAUGGGAGUGGGUUGCAAAAGAAGUAGGUAGCUUAACCUUCGGGAGGGCGCUUACCACUUUGUGAUUCAUGACUGGGGUGA
rnacentral:rRNA from 1 species